rnacentral:rRNA from 1 species
GACGAACGCUGGCGGCGUGCUUAACACAUGCAAGUCGAACGGAAAGGCCCUGCUUUUGUGGGGUGCUCGAGUGGCGAACGGGUGAGUAACACGUGAGUAACCUGCCCUUGACUUUGGGAUAACUUCAGGAAACUGGGGCUAAUACCGGAUAGGAGCUCCUGCUGCAUGGUGGGGGAUGGAAAGUUUCGGCGGUUGGGGAUGGACUCGCGGCUUAUCAGCUUGUUGGUGGGGUAGUGGCUUACCAAGGCUUUGACGGGUAGCCGGCCUGAGAGGGUGACCGGCGACAUUGGGACUGAGAUACGGCGCAGAAGCCUACGGGAGGCAGCAGUGGGGAAUAUUGCAGAAUGGGCGGAAGUCUGAUGCAGAAACGCCGCGUGCGGGAUGACGGCCUUCGGGUUGUAAACCGCUUUCGCCUGUGACGAAGCGGGAGUGACGGUAAUGGGUAAAGAAGCACCGGCUAACUACGUG